rnacentral:rRNA from 1 species
GCUACCUGCCGGCGAGUGGCGAACGGGUGAGUAAUACAUCGGAACGUGCCCUGUAGUGGGGGAUAACUAGUCGAAAGACUAGCUAAUACCGCAUACGACCUGAGGGUGAAAGUGGGGGACCGCAAGGCCUCAUGCUAUAGGAGCGGCCGAUGUCUGAUUAGCUAGUUGGUGGGGUAAAGGCCCACCAAGGCGACGAUCAGUAGCUGGUCUGAGAGGACGAUCAGCCACACUGGGACUGAGACACGGCCCAGACUCCUACGGGAGGCAGCAGUGGGGAAUUUUGGACAAUGGGGGCAACCCUGAUCCAGCAAUGCCGCGUGUGUGAAGAAGGCCUUCGGGUUGUAAAGCACUUUUGUCCGGAAAGAAAUCGCUUCGGUUAAUACCUGGAGUGGAUGACGGUACCGGAAGAAUAAGGACCGGCUAACUACGUGCCAGCAGCCGCGGUAAUACGUAGGGUCCAAGCGUUAAUCGGAAUUACUGGGCGUAAAGCGUGCGCAGGCGGUUGUGCAAGACCGAUGUGAAAUCCCCGGGCUUAACCUGGGAAUUGCAUUGGUGACUGCACAGCUAGAGUGUGUCAGAGGGAGGUAGAAUUCCACGUGUAGCAGUGAAAUGCGUAGAGAUGUGGAGGAAUACCGAUGGCGAAGGCAGCCUCCUGGGAUAACACUGACGCUCAUGCACGAAAGCGUGGGGAGCAAACAGGAUUAGAUACCCUGGUAGUCCACGCCCUAAACGAUGUCAACUAGUUGUUGGGGAUUCAUUUCCUUAGUAACGUAGCUAACGCGUG